AAAGUUAUCCGUAAGGAAAGAAAAGAAAAAAGGAAAAAGAAAAACAAAAAAGUCGGGCAUGAGUCAUCGCAAACACUUGGUUGCCGCGUCACGUCUAUCCACUCAGUUUCCGCCAGCUGGAUUCCUCUUCCCCCUCACGCGUCACCCUCCAAAACCCUACCCAUCCACCCACCCCAUGCCGCAACCGUGCUCCACCACCACCAUCACCGCAGUUACUUCACUUUAAUUACCUCUACUCAUUCAUUUUCGAUUUUUCCGCUACUUCACUACUUCCUCAUGAUUUCUGCGUAGCGGCUCAGUUUUUCGAUUUCUGGUUUCCGUUUUUCCUCUCCUCAACUUCAGGGAACAGAAUCUUACCGUUGGAUCUCAGCUAGAUUCACGGCUGUCUGUGUCUGCUGUAGUUAAUUUCUAGGCUUGUAAUUACCGCCAACAACUGAAAUUGAGCUUCUCGCCUGCCUGACUCGGAUUCCUUUUCCUUCCACCUCAUACCAGGUUUUAUCUCUUUUAUUGUAAAGUACCAAAAUCCGGUAAAAGAAUCACCCAAACAGGGUUAGAAAUUUUGGGUACAAUCUGUUGCUGUUCUAAUGGGCACCGGGGAAGAAAGCGCUCCAUCAAAAUCAUCCAAACCUGCAUCCGCAGCGCAGGAAGCACCCGCUACACCUAAUACGCCUGUGUAUCCUGAUUGGUCAAGUAAUAUGCAGGCCUUUUAUGGUGCUGGGGCAGCUCCACCUUUCUUUGCCUCAACUGUGGCUUCACCCACUCCCCAUCCUUACAUGUGGGGAGGUCAGCACCCUAUGAUGCCACCUUAUGGGACCCCAGUUCCAUAUCCAGCUUUAUAUCCUCCUGGGGGAAUCUAUGCUCACCCUAAUAUGGCUACGCCACCAGGUUUUGUACAUGGGACUGCAGAAUCAGAUGGGAAAGGAACUGAUGGGAAGGACCGCUCGUCAAGCAAAAUAACCAAGGGGGCUUCAGCAAAUCAUGGCAUGAUUAGUGGAAAGAGUGGGGAUGGUGGGAAAACAGCUUCUGGCUCUGGAAAUGAUGGUACCCACAGUGCUGAAAGUGGUAGUGAAGGUUCAUCAGAUGCAAGUGAUGAAAACAAUAACCAGGACUUCUCGGCAUCCAAGAAAGGAAGCUUUGACCGGAUGCUUGCUGAUGGGGCUAACGCACAGAACCAUGGUGUCCCUACUAAUUUCCCAAAUUCUGUUCCUGGCAAUCCUGUAGUAUCUGUCCCUGCAACUAACUUGAAUAUUGGCAUGGAUUUGUGGAAUGCUACUCCAGCUGGAUCUGGGCCCAUGAAAUCCCGGCCAAAUUCAGUUGGUGUUGCUCAGGCUGUUGCUCAAUCUGGCAUGAUGAAUGAUCAGUGGAUUCAACAGGACGAACGUGAAUUAAAAAGGCAGAAGAGAAAGCAAUCUAAUCGUGAGUCUGCUCGGAGGUCAAGAUUACGGAAACAGGUUCAUAUAUUGGAAGGACUUAUCUGGCGUUCUGAAUAUCAAUGCCUCUUGUAUGUUCUUGGUAGGCUGAGUGUGAAGAGCUACAGCACAGGGUGGAAUCAUUAAAUAGUGAGAAUCGUAGUCUCAGAGACGAGCUACAAAGGCUUUCUGAGGAAUGCGAGAAACUUACAUCAGAGAAUAACUCUAUAAAGGACGAGUUAACUAAAAUGUUGGGGGCAGACGCCGUAAGUAAAUUAGAGAAUGGCAAGUCAGAUACACAUGGGUGCAGUGGAGAUGAAGAAGGUAACUGUUAGUGAGAAAUUGACAAGCUGCGUAGAAUUUUCUCUUUAGUUUGAAGUCAUACUGCUGUGCUUACUAAUCCUCUUAAUAUCCCUAAUUCUUCUACUAGUGUUGUAAUACUUAAAUUAACUUUAGGUAUACCAGGAGUAAGGAUCCCAUUCUGUUUUUAAAUUUAGUGAUGGAGUAAUUUUAUGGCUUCUGUUGCUUCUAACCGAAUGUAUUUCUUUUUCCUUGAGCAUCCAAGAUGUAAUUCUUUCUUCUCUUGUUGGAGAUGUAACAUUAAUACAAGUCUCAACUAUCAUUAUAAUAUUUAUACUAGUGACUUUUCAUAUCA